rfam:Homo sapiens chromosome 4, GRCh38 reference primary assembly.
GACUUUUCUGAAGACAAUGAGCUAUCUCAGUUAAUUCAAUCAGUUACAGAUCAAACUCCGUGUUCUACUGUGUUCCCCAUUCUCACUACUGCACUUGAAUAGCACUUAA